rnacentral:lncRNA from 1 species
AUUUGAGUUGUUAACUUGGCCAAUUCCAUUUUAUAAAUAAAAGUCCAUAGGUCAUUUGAAGCUGAAAUUCUCCCUUCCCUCAACACGUUCCUCCUUCAGGGUGGAUGUCUACACUGGGAAAGAGUUAUCCUCUUCUCUGACUCCUUACUUAGCACUUCUCUCCUCUUCACUCUCCUUCUCUCUCCUCCAGGUCUGUGGGAGAAGAGAGUAAAGAGAUAGGCAAGGUCUUUCUUGCACGAUACUGGCAUACCACCUGGCAUUGGUGUUCUCUGGAUCUGACCGAUGUUCAAUGUUCAUUUUCUCAUAAGAAUUCUCUGAGACAUGAAGAGAAAUGUCAUAGGGAGUAAUGGGCCUGGAGCUGGGGGAGAGUGGUCAUUUUAAGCCAUGUGCAGCUGAUGAGUAAGUGGAACAAUACUUUGGGGCAAAACUAGAACAAAGCAGACACCUGUAGAAAGGCAGAAA